UACAGGGGGGGCUAGCGUUGUUCGGAAUUACUGGGCGUAAAGCGUGCGCAGGCGGCUUCUCAAGUCAGGGGUGAAAGCCCAGAGCUCAACUCUGGAAUUGCCUUUGAGACUGAGUGGCUUGAGUACGAGAGAGGUGAGUGGAAUUCCCAGUGUAGAGGUGAAAUUCGUAGAUAUUGGGAAGAACACCGGUGGCGAAGGCGGCUCACUGGCUCGUAACUGACGCUCAUGCACGACAGCGUGGGGAUCAAACAGG
rnacentral:rRNA from 1 species